AGCUUUGCGCAGUGGCAGUAUCGUAGCCAAUGAGGUUUAUCCGAGGCGCGAUUAUUGCUAAUUGAAAUCAAUUGUAAAAACCCAGUUCCAGGGGCGCCUGGGGGGCUCCGUCAGUGAAGUGUCUGCCUUCGGCUCAGGUCA
rnacentral:snRNA from 1 species